GACGAACGCUGGCGGCGUGCCUAACACAUGCAAGUCGAACGGAGAUAAGCGCUGAUUUGAAGGUAGCUUGCUACUGAAUUUUCUUGCUUAUCUUAGUGGCGGACGGGCGAGUAACGCGUGAGUAACCUGCCUUUCAGAGGGGGACAACAGUUGGAAACGACUGCUAAUACCGCAUAACGUCAUUUGGGGGCAUCCCUGAGUGACCAAAGAUUUAUCGCUGAAAGAUGGACUCGCGUCCGAUUAGCUAGAUGGUGGGGUAACGGCCUACAUGGCGACGAUCGGUAGCCGAACUGAGAGGUUGAUCGGCCGCAUUGGGACUGAGACA
rnacentral:rRNA from 1 species